UGGAGCUCUGGGCUCUGUCGUAGGCCUACUCAAGUCUGUCAUUAAAUCAUAUUUCAAGUAUCUUUCGUCAGUUGGCCUGUGGUGGCACUCAGAUUGAUGAAUGAACUCCCCCUUCCAACACCAAUUUUUUCAAGUCCGCUGGAAAUCAGACUUUUCCUCGACACUUUUUCCUUCUUCCUGCACAACGGCCGGUGAAAUCCGUAAGUUUCUACCGCAGCUACUCUGUGUCAGACGUCGUCAGUACGACUACAUGUCAAAGACUUGCAGAGAUCACUAAUAUACAUUACCUUGUGGACAAAUUCGCGAUUUUCCAAACGCUCUUACUUGCGAUGCAAACUCAAACAGUGUCAGACUCGUUAGGCUUGUAAGCAUGAUUCAGCUCAAGUAACGCACUUCAGCGACGUUGCUUCAAUACUCUCACUGGUCUUGACGGCUUUCCAAGUUACUGACUCCCUCACAAAGUGGCCGUGAAAGGCUUAGGGUUUACAGAAACUUGAAGCACACGCGACAACAGUUUCAGUUAACUCUGACCCAGCCACAACGUUUCCAGUCCGUAUCUAACUCGCCUGAAAUCUUAAAAGUUACUUAUCAUGUUAUAUCAGCGGAAUUGACGACACCAUUUUUUUAAAUAUUUUAUUUCUUCAGGUGGA